rnacentral:rRNA from 1 species
GAUGAACGCUGGCGGCGUGCCUAAUACAUGCAAGUCGAGCGAACGGACGAGAAGCUUGCUUCUCUGAUGUUAGCGGCGGACGGGUGAGUAACACGUGGAUAACCUACCUAUAAGACUGGGAUAACUUCGGGAAACCGUAGCUAAUACCGGAUAAUAUUUUGAACCGCAUGGUUCAAAAGUGAAAGACGGUCUUGCUGUCACUUAUAGAUGGAUCCGCGCUGCAUUAGCUAGUUGGUAAGGUAACGGCUUACCAAGACAACGAUGCAUAGCCGACCUGAGAGGGUGAUCGGCCACACUGGAACUGAGACACGGUCCAGACUCCUACGGGAGGCAGCAGUAGGGAAUCUUCCGCAAUGGGCGAAAGCCUGACGGAGCAACGCCGUGUGAGUGAUGAAGGUCUUCGGAUCGUAAAACUCUGUUAUUAGGGAAGAACAUAUGUGUAAGUAACUGUGCACAUCUUGACGGUACCUAAUCAGAAAGCCACGGCUAACUACGUG